rnacentral:rRNA from 1 species
UACACUCCUACGGGAGGCAGCAGUGGGGAAUUUUGGACAAUGGGCGAAAGCCUGAUCCAGCAAUGCCGCGUGAGUGAAGAAGGCCUUCGGGUUGUAAAGCUCUUUUGUCAGGGAAGAAACGGUGAGAGCUAAUAUCUCUUGCUAAUGACGGUACCUGAAGAAUAAGCACCGGCUAACUACGUGCCAGCAGCCGCGGUAAUACGUAGGGUGCAAGCGUUAAUCGGAAUUACUGGGCGUAAAGCGUGCGCAGGCGGUUUUGUAAGUCUGAUGUGAAAUCCCCGGGCUCAACCUGGGAAUUGCAUUGGAGACUGCAAGGCUAGAAUCUGGCAGAGGGGGGUAGAAUUCCACGUGUAGCAGUGAAAUGCGUAGAUAUGUGGAGGAACACCGAUGGCGAAGGCAGCCCCCUGGGUCAAGAUUGACGCUCAUGCACGAAAGCGUGGGGAGCAAACAGGAUUAGAUACCCGAGUAGUCCCA